GGCUCCUGCCGGCGUGGUGCGUGAGCAUCAGAAGCCACUUCCGCUCCCUGAUGGGGAAGGUUCUAUUACCAAGGGUCGCUUCCCCGAAGCCCUAAUGGACAAAAGAGGAAAUGAGAGGAGGAAGGGAGGAAUGACCUCUGUCAGUCCAAAACCAGCUUAGAAAAAACUCCCACCUUAUGGGCCUGGUGGCUGAAGAUUGAUGCUGUUCUGAUACUUCUGCCUCCAAUGAUGUGGAGACCUGGGUUCCUGCACAGGUCCACCCCUCCCGCCAGACUUGGGCCAAGACCAACCCUCAGGGGUUCUUCAGAUACACCACCAGCCCCUGCGCCAGCUCAGGAUGCCAACCAGGUGAACAGAGGCAUUUCCACCUCCAGAGGAACAGCAGAUGAAAUGGCUCCUGUACUCCUGAUUUGGUAUGCUGUUCCCCCAAGCUCCUGGAACAUCACUGCUGAAACCUGCCUUCUCAGCCCCCUCGGGGAACAGAUGUCUGAGGUCUCCAUGAUAAUGCUUCUUCACUCACACCUCCUGACAUGUGUGACCCCGACUCCCAACUCUCCCCCCUACUUCACCCCAAAAUCAGCAGGAAGCAAUCUCGGGAAUCCAGCGCCCUUGUUCCCACACUUGCUAUCCAUAACUCACUUUUUUAUAAUAAUCAAAAUGGAGGACCUGCCCCUUGAGGACCCACCCAGCAUCCUGACAUCAUCUUGCAUUAAAGUCCCCUUAAAAGGAAAAAACCCCUCCCCCCUCCCCAGAAGUAGUGCACACCUCUCUCUUUCUCUCUCCCUCUCU